rnacentral:lncRNA from 1 species
AACUAUAAUGAGUACAAAACUCAGUAAGCAAACUAGUUUUUCUUAUAGAAAAUACAUACAUACUUAUACAUAAUGCAAUGGAUGAUAUGCCAUGAUCUUUUGGAAAUACUGUAAAAUAAAUUCAAAAAAAUCUCUUUCUGUCACUUUCAAACUUUCUCAUUUUCUUUCGAUGAAAUAUGUAUCCUGCAAUGUGGCACUUUGUGCUGUGCGUGGCACUUUGCACCAUGCGUGGCACUUUGCGGCGCUCUGGCCCUCAAGAGGUGGCCCCCGCAUAGUCUCAAGAGGUGGCCCCCACACAACUUCAAGAGGUGGCCCCCAAUGCAAAAUCUCAUAAAACAGAAAUUCCGUUUGCUAAAAUCCACUUUCUCAUUCAUAGAAAACUCAAUGCAUUUUCGUGCUCAUGCCAAUGAACCAUCACACAUACAUAUGCCCAUGUACAUAAUCACGCCCAUUACAUAACAACACAUCACAUAAACACAUGAGCAGAGACAUAUAAAUCCAUAUUCGUACAUAUCAAAAUAGGACAUCCGCCUUGGCCGUACAGCAGAGCUCUCACCAAGAAACACCUCUUUUCUGACAAAUGCAACGUAAUAUGAUCACGUCCUGCUUAAUAACACAAAGCAUAGAGGCUGCUCUAAUACUUUUCUAACUUAGCCAAAGUUGUUGAAGAUAUAAGUACUUUUAAGUGCUCAGUAAUCUUUAUUAAAUUAGCAUGAUUGGACAUAAUUAAAAAAUGAAAAUUGAAUCAUUAUGAUGAUUGAAUUAGGUAGUUUGAUUGGUGUUAUUUUGUCUAAUUAUCAAGGAGAACAUUCAAUUAUAUACAAUAUGUCCUUCCUAUUUUCUCUUUUAAUUAAAUCAUAAAAAGACUUGCAAUAUUGAUUAUGUAUCUGUUAUGUUGGUUAUUGAAGUGAAUUAUAGUUGUUUUCGUGAUUGUCAAAUAUUGUCUUUGUAACUUAUUUAUUUUUUAUUUAUGAAAUCAAUGGGGAUUUUGCUCUUAUUGAUGGAUGUUGCUGGGUACUAAGAACUGAUGGUCGUAUUAAUUAAUCAGUAUAAGUUAGUUGAAAGUUCAAUGUUCAUGCACUUUUGAGCUACAUAAGGCAAGGAAAAUUGAGUGACUUUAUGUGAUGUAAUGUGACACUAUUCAAUUAAGCAACUCUACUUUUUAGUGAUGGACACAAAUGAAACUAGUGGACUUGCAUUAGCUAGAUGAUAAUUAAAAGGCCAAGAUUAUAUCUUUAACACCCCAGUCCGAAAUCCAAGGGCAAAUAUGUCCACAACUCACAUAUGAUUUAAAUAACUCUUUACAAACAAUAAAAUCCGAGCUUCAAAUACAAAAGCCAGCGGAAUAACUUAAAAAUUUAGCCAAACCAUCUACCAUCUUUAACUUGUCACUCAUCACGAAUCAAUCCUGGAUCUACUAUCCUCAAUUUAAAUCCAUCUUCUCACUCAUCGCGAAUCAAUCCUGACUUCUGGAAACUGAAUCACAAUAAACUAUAACGAGUACAAAACCCAGUAAGCAAACUAGUUUUUUUUAUACCAAAAUACAUCCAUACUUAUACAUAAUGCAAUGGAUGAUAUGCCAUGAUCUUUUGGAAAUAUUGUAAAAUAAAUUCAUAAAAAUCUAUUUCUGUCGCUUUCAAACUUUCUCAUUUUCUUUCGAUGAAAUACAUAUCCUGCAAUGUGGCACUUUGUGCUGUACGUGGUACUAUGCACCAUGCGUGGCACUUUGCUGCGCUCUGGCCCUCAAGAGGUGGCCCCCGCAUAGUCUCAAGAGGUGGCCCCCACACAACUUCAAGAGGUGGCCCCCAAUGCAAAAUCUCAUAAAACAGAAAUUCCGUUUGCUAAAAUCCACUUUCUCAUUCAUAGAAAACUCAAUGCAUUUUCGUGCUCAUGCCAAUGAACCAUCACACAUACAUAUGCCCAUGUACAUAAUCACGCCCAUUACAUAACAACACAUCACAUAAACACAUGAGCAGAGACAUAUAAAUCCAUAUUCGUACAUAUCAAAAUAGGCUUUUCAUACAAGUCAGACAUAUAUAUUAUUUAUUGUGAUUCGUUUUAAAGUCUAGUUCACUUACCUC